GGGGGUCUAGCUCAGUGGUAGAGCACUUGCCUAGCAAGCGCAAGGCCCUGGGUUCGGUCCCCAGCUCCA
rnacentral:tRNA from 1 species